UCAACUUUAUUAGAAGAGACGCAUUUAUUAGAUAAAAAGCCAGUUCAUGCUUUUACAGUAUGAAAAUUGGUGAUUUAUAAUAACUUAGCAAAUCGCAAAGUGAAAACAGGCGAUAAAUCAUUCAAGUUUCUGACCUAUCAGCUUUCGACGGUAUGGUAUUGGCUUACCGUGGCAGUGACGGUUAACGGGGGAUUAGGGUUCGAUUCCGGAGAGGGAGCCUGAGAAACGGCUACCACAUCUAAGGAAGGCAGCAGGCGCGCAAAUUACCCAAUUCUAACAGUUUGAGAGAGGUAGUAACAAGAAAUAACAAUACAAGGCAGUUAAAAUGCUUUGUAAUUGGAAUGAUAGAAAUUUAAACCCUUUUUAAAGUAUCAAUUGGAGGGCAAGUCUGGUGCCAGCAGCCGCGGUAAUUCCAGCUCCAAUAGCGUAUAUUAAAAUUGUUGCAGUUAAAAAGCUCGUAGUUGAAGUUCUGCUGAAAGUAACCGGUCUGCUUUUAAUAAAAGUGGUAUCUUGGUAUGUAUUUAGCAAUGAUGUCCUUUGAAGUGUUUUUUACUUUAUUGUAAUAAAGCAUAUUCAGGACUUUUACUUGAGAAAAUU
rnacentral:rRNA from 1 species